rnacentral:rRNA from 1 species
CAGUCGCCGCGGGAAUACGAAGGGGGCUAGCGUUGUUCGGAAUCACUGGGCGUAAAGGGUGCGUAGGCGGAUUCUUAAGUCAGGGGUGAAAUCCCGAGGCUCAACCUCGGAACUGCCUUUGAUACUGGGGAUCUUGAGUCCGGAAGAGGUGAGUGGAACUGCGAGUGUAGAGGUGAAAUUCGUAGAUAUUCGCAAGAACACCGGUGGCGAAGGCGGCUCACUGGUCCGGAACUGACGCUGAGGCACGACAGCGUGGGGAGCAAACAGGAUUAGAUACCCCUGUAGUCCCUGUCUCUUAUAC